UACAGAGGGUGCGAGCGUUAAUCGGAAUUACUGGGCGUAAAGCGCACGUAGGCGGCUUGGUAUGUCGGGUGUGAAAUCCCCGGGCUCAGCCUGGGAACUGCAUCCGAAACUGCCUUGCUCGAGUAUGGGAGAGGGAAGUGGAAUUUCCGGUGUAGCGGUGAAAUGCGUAGAUAUCGGAAGGAACAUCAGUGGCGAAGGCGACUUCCUGGACCAAUACUGACGCUCAGGUGCGAAAGCGUGGGGAGCAAACAGG
rnacentral:rRNA from 1 species